UCCCUGGUGGUUCAGUGGUAAAAAAUCUGCCUGCAAAGUAGGAGACUCAGAUUUGAAUCCUGGGUGGGGAA
rnacentral:tRNA from 1 species